rnacentral:rRNA from 1 species
GAUGAACGCUGGCGGCGUGCCUAAUACAUGCAAGUCGAGCGAACGGACGAGAAGCUUGCUUCUCUGAUGUUAGCGGCGGACGGGUGAGUAACACGUGGAUAACCUACCUAUAAGACUGGGAUAACUUCGGGAAACCGUAGCUAAUACCGGAUAAUAUUUUGAACCGCAUGGUUCAAAAGUGAAAGACGGUCUUGCUGUCACUUAUAGAUGGAUCCGCGCUGCAUUAGCUAGUUGGUAAGGUAACGGCUUACCAAGGCAACGAUGCAUAGCCGACCUGAGAGGGUGAUCGGCCACACUGGAACUGAGACACGGUCCAGACUCCUACGGGAGGCAGCAGUAGGGAAUCUUCCGCAAUGGGCGAAAGCCUGACGGAGCAACGCCGCGUGAGUGAUGAAGGUCUUCGGAUCGUAAAACUCUGUUAUUAGGGAAGAACAUAUGUGUAAGUAACUGUGCACAUCUUGACGGUACCUAAUCAGAAAGCCACGGCUAACUACGUGCCAGCAGCCGCGGUAAUACGUAGGUGGCAAGCGUUAUCCGGAAUUAUUGGGCGUAAAGCGCGCGUAGGCGGUUUUUUAAGUCUGAUGUGAAAGCCCACGGCUCAACCGUGGAGGGUCAUUGGAAACUGGAAAACUUGAGUGCAGAAGAGGAAAGUGGAAUUCCAUGUGUAGCGGUGAAAUGCGCAGAGAUAUGGAGGAACACCAGUGGCGAAGGCGACUUUCUGGUCUGUAACUGACGCUGAUGUGCGAAAGCGUGGGGAUCAAACAGGAUUAGAUACCCUGGUAGUCCACGCCGUAAACGAUGAGUGCUAAGUGUUAGGGGGUUUCCGCCCCUUAGUGCUGCAGCUAACGCAUUAAGCACUCCGCCUGGGGAGUACGACCGCAAGGUUGAAACUCAAAGGAAUUGACGGGGACCCGCACAAGCGGUGGAGCAUGUGGUUUAAUUCGAAGCAACGCGAAGAACCUUACCAAAUCUUGACAUCCUUUGACAACUCUAGAGAUAGAGCUUUCCCCUUCGGGGGACAAAGUGACAGGUGGUGCAUGGUUGUCGUCAGCUCGUGUCGUGAGAUGUUGGGUUAAGUCCCGCAACGAGCGCAACCCUUAAGCUUAGUUGCCAUCAUUAAGUUGGGCACUCUAAGUUGACUGCCGGUGACAAACCGGAGGAAGGUGGGGAUGACGUCAAAUCAUCAUGCCCCUUAUGAUUUGGGCUACACACGUGCUGCAAUGGGCAAUACAAAGGGCAGCGAAACCGUGAGGUCAAGCAAAUCCCAUAAAGUUGUUCUCAGUUCGGAUUGUAGUCUGCAACUCGACUACAUGAAGCUGGAAUCGCUAGUAAUCGUAGAUCAGCAUGCUACGGUGAAUACGUUCCCGGGUCU